rnacentral:rRNA from 1 species
UACGUAGGGUGCGAGCGUUGUCCGGAAUUAUUGGGUGUAAAGAGCUCGUAGGCGGCCUGUCGCGUCGGAUGUGAAAGCCCGGGGCUUAACCCCGGGUCUGCAUUCGAUACGGGCAGGCUAGAGUGUGGUAGGGGAGAUCGGAAUUCCUGGUGUAGCGGUGAAAUGCGCAGAUAUCAGGAGGAACACCGGUGGCGAAGGCGGAUCUCUGGGCCAUUACUGACGCUGAGGAGCGAAAGCGUGGGGAGCGAACAGG